GUAGGUGCUCAGGUUCAGGGCUUCGACGGGGAUGGUUUUGGAACUCGGGAGCCCUGAGCGUUCCCCUCCUCUGUCCCCCAGGACAUCCUGAACCACGUGUUCGACGACGUAGAGAGCUUUGUAUCGAGGCUGCAGAAGUCGGCGGAGGCGGCCAGGGUGCUAGAGCACCGGGAACGCGGCCGCAGGACACGGCGCCGGGCGGCUGGGGAGGGCCUGCUGACGCUGCGGGCCAAGCCGCCUUCGGAGGCCGAGUACACCGACGUGCUGCAGAAGAUCAAGUACGCCUUCAGCCUGCUGGCCCGGCUGCGCGGCAACAUCGCCGACCCCUCCUCUCCGGAGCUGUUGCACUUCCUUCUCGGGCCUCUGCAGAUGAUUGUGAACACGUCGGGGGGGCCGGAGUUCGCGAGCAGCGUGCGGCGGCCGCACCUGACAUCGGAUGCCGUGGCGCUGCUGCGGGACAACGUCACUCCAUGUGAAAACGAGCUCUGGACCUCGCUGGGGGACUCGUGGACCCGCCCCGGGCUGGAGCUGCCUCCGGACGAGGGACC
rnacentral:sRNA from 1 species